rnacentral:rRNA from 1 species
GUGGAUUAGAUACCCUGGUAGUCCACGCCGUAAACGAUGGGUGCUAGGUGUGGGGAGUGUCGACUCUCCCUGUGCCGAAGCUAACGCAUUAAGCACCCCGCCUGGGGAGUACGGCCGCAAGGCUAAAACUCAAAGGAAUUGACGGGGGCCCGCACAAGCAGCGGAGCAUGUGCUUUAAUUCGACGCAACGCGAAGAACCUUACCAGGGCUUGACAUGCACGGGAAUGUCAUAGAGAUAUGGCAGCCCUUCGGGGCUCGUGCACAGGUGUUGCAUGGUCGUCGUCAGCU